GACGAACGCUGGCGGCGUGCUUAACACAUGCAAGUCGAACGGAAAGGCCUGCUUUCCCUUGUGGAUUGCGGGUACUCGAGUGGCGAACGGGUGAGUAACACGUGAGUGAUCUGCCCCCAACUUGGGUAUAAGCCUGGGAAACUGGGUCUAAUUCCCGAUAGGACUGCAGGGUGGUGCCUGUGGUGGAAAACGAUUUUCUAGUGGUUGGGGAUGAGCUCGCGGCCUAUCAGCUUGUUGGUGGGGUAAUGGCCUACCAAGGCGGCGACGGGUAGCCGGCCUGGGAGGGUGGACGGCCACAUUGGGACUGAGAUACGGCCCAGACGCCUACGGGAGGCAGCAGUGGGGAAUAUUGCACAAUGGGCGGAAGCCUGAUGCAGCGACGCCGCGUGGGGGAUGACGGCCUUCGGGUUGUAAACUCCUUGCGACCGCGAGGAAGCCACCUGGUUGGAAGGGUGGUGACGGUAGUGGUAGAAGAAGCACCGGCUAACUACGUG
rnacentral:rRNA from 1 species